rnacentral:rRNA from 1 species
CGCCGAUAUGCUUUGGGGAGCUGUACGUAAGCUAUGAUCCAGAGAUUUCCGAAUGGGGGAACCCAACAUCUUUAAUAGGAUGUUACGAUUGUGUGAAUACAUAGCACAUUCGAGGUAGACGCAGAGAACUGAAACAUCUAAGUACCUGCAGGAAGAGAAAGAAAAUUCGAUUCCCUGAGUAGCGGCGAGCGAAACGGGAAAAGCCCAAACCAGCAAGCUUGCUUGUUGGGGUUGUAGGACUCCAAUAUGGUAGUUCUUUCAGAUAGUCGAAUGACUUGGAAAAGUCAGUCAAAGAGGGUAAAAACCCCGUAGACGAAAUGUGGAAGACACCUAGGAGGAUCCUGAGUACGGCGGAACACGAGAAAUUCCGUCGGAAUCCGGGAGGACCAUCUCCCAAGGCUAAAUACUCCCUAGUGACCGAUAGUGAACCAGUACCGUGAGGGAAAGGUGAAAAGCACCCCGGAAGGGGAGUGAAAUAGAACCUGAAACCGUGUGCCUACAACAAGUCAAAGCCCGUUAAUGGGUGAUGGCGUGCCUUUUGUAGAAUGAACCGGCGAGUUACGAUUGCAUGCGAGGUUAAGUUGAAGAGACGGAGCCGCAGCGAAAGCGAGUCUGAAUAGGGCGUUUGAGUAUGUAGUCGUAGACCCGAAACCAUGUGAUCUACCCAUGUCCAGGUUGAAGGUGCGGUAAAACGCACUGGAGGACCGAACCCACGUACGUUGAAAAGUGCGGGGAUGAGGUGUGGGUAGCGGAGAAAUUCCAAACGAACUUGGAGAUAGCUGGUUCUCUCCGAAAUAGCUUUAGGGCUAGCCUCGGAAUUGAGAAUGAUGGAGGUAGAGCACUGUUUGGACUAGGGGCCCAUCUCGGGUUACCGAAUUCAGAUAAACUCCGAAUGCCAUUCAUUCAUAUCCGGGAGUCAGACUGUGAGUGAUAAGAUCCAUAGUCGAAAGGGAAACAGCCCAGACCACCAGCUAAGGUCCCAAAAUAUAUGUUAAGUGGAAAAGGAUGUGGGGUUGCACAGACAACUAGGAUGUUGGCUUAGAAGCAGCCACCAUUUAAAGAGUGCGUAAUAGCUCACUAGUCGAGUGACCCUGCGCCGAAAAUGUACCGGGGCUAAACAUAUUACCGAAGCUGUGGAGUACACCUUUAGGUGUAUUGGUAGGAGAGCGUUCUAAGGGCGUUGAAGGCAGAUCGUGAGGACUGCUGGAGCGCUUAGAAGUGAGAAUGCCGGUAUGAGUAGCGAAAGACAGGUGAGAAUCCUGUCCACCGAAUGACUAAGGUUUCCUGGGGAAGGCUCGUCCGCCCAGGGUUAGUCGGGACCUAAGCCGAGGCCGACAGGCGUAGGCGAUGGAUAACAGGUUGAUAUUCCUGUACCCGUUGUUUUUGUUUGAGCAAUGGAGGGACGCAGGAGGCUAAGGAAUGCAGACGAUCGGAAAUGUCUGUCCAA